rnacentral:rRNA from 1 species
CUAGUUGGUGGGGUAAAGGCCUACCAAGGCGAUGAUCGGUAGCUGGUCUAAGAGGAUGGUCAGCCACACUGGGACUGAGACACGGCCCAGACUCCUACGGGAGGCAGCAGUGGGGAAUAUUGGACAAUGGGGGGAACCCUGAUCCAGCAAUGCCGCGUGUGUGAAGAAGGCCUGAGGGUUGUAAAGCACUUUCAGUGGGGAGGAGGGUAAUCACCUAAUACGUGAGUAGAUUGAUGUUACCCACAGAAGAAGCACCGGCUAACUCCGUG